rnacentral:rRNA from 1 species
GACGAACCGUGCGAACGUUGUUCGGAAUCACUGGGCUUAAAGGGCGCGUAGGCGGGCUACCAAGUCUGUGGUGAAAUCCUCCGGCUCAACCGGAGAACGGCCGUGGAUACUGGGAGCCUCGAGGGAGAUAGGGGCAGGCGGAACUGAUGGUGGAGCGGUGAAAUGCGUUGAUAUCGAUCAGGAACUCCGGUGGCGAAGGCGGCCUGCUGGAUCUCAUCGUGACGCUGAUGCGCGAAAGCCAGGGGAGCAAACGGGAUAG